rnacentral:lncRNA from 1 species
CAUCAUGAUUUCGUUAAGGAUUCCUUAUGGUUGCUUGUUCCCUUCCUUGUUCACUCACUGGGUUUAUACUCACCAUUUUCAAAUUCAUUUUUUCAGAUCACGAGGCAGCCGGUAACUAGGACGGGGUGUCCUUGUAGAUUUGUGUCCAUCUUUUGGUAGGUGUCUUGGCAUUCAGUAGCAGUAUAUUCAUCCGAGUCCCUCCGCUGGAAAUUGAGUCUUCUUUUUGAGAUGUAUAGACAAACUUGAUAUAAAUUAUUAGAAUACAUGUUGUAAACAUUGUAUGUAAAUUUUAAAUGAGUAAUGUCAAUACGAGUUGACAAUGUUUAUUACUAUUUUGGUUUAAAGUUAUAAUUUGUGACUUAGCAAUAUUUGGUGGAAUGAUGAGUAAGAUAAAAUAAUAGGCUUGCUUGGG